rnacentral:rRNA from 1 species
GACGAACGCUUGCGGCGUGCCUGAGAAAUGCAAGUCGAGCGGGGAGUAGAGCUUCGGUUUUGUCUCCUAGCGGCGAACGGUCGAGUAACACGUGGGCAAUCUGCCCCACAGACGGGGAUAACAGCGGGAAACCGCUGCUAAUACCGGAUAGGCAUGGGAGAGCGCAUGUUCUUCCGUGUAAAGGAGCAAUCCGCUGUGGGAGGAGCCUGCGGCCUAUUAGCUAGCUGGUGGGGUAACGGCCUACCAGGGCGACGAUGGGUAGCUGGUCUGAGAGGAUGGUCAGCCGGAUCGGGACUGAGACACGGCCCGGACUCCUACGGGGGCAGCAAUCAGGAAUAUUGCGCAAUGGGGGAAACCCUGACGCAGCGACGCCGCGUGCGGGAAGAAGGCCUUCGGUCGUAAACCGCUGUUGUGGGAGACGAAGGUCCCCUUUUGGGGGAAGGAGACGGUAUCCCACGAGGAAGCCCGGCUAACUACGUG